AAUAUUUUGUGUUUAAAGGGGGAUUCUCUUUGUCUCGGUGUGUCUCGGUUUGGAGAGGCACCCGGCUCUGCAGACUCGUAAAUAAACAAAUUUCUUUUUCCA